rnacentral:rRNA from 1 species
UACGGAGGGUGCAAGCGUUAAUCGGAAUUACUGGGCGUAAAGCGCACGCAGGCGGUCUGUCAAGUCGGAUGUGAAAUCCCCGGGCUCAACCUGGGAACUGCAUUCGAAACUGGCAGGCUAGAGUCUUGUAGAGGGGGGUAGAAUUCCAGGUGUAGCGGUGAAAUGCGUAGAGAUCUGGAGGAAUACCGGUGGCGAAGGCGGCCCCCUGGACAAAGACUGACGCUGAGACGCGAAAGCGUGGGGAGCGAACAGG